rnacentral:rRNA from 1 species
AUUGAACGCUGGCGGCAGGCCUAACACAUGCAAGUCGAGCGGCAGCGGGUCCUUCGGGAUGCCGGCGCGCGGCGGACGGGUGAGCAAUGCCUAGGAAUCUGCCAGGUAGCGGGGGCUAACGUUCGGAAACGGACGCUAAUACCGCAUACGACCUACGGGAGACAGUGGGGGAUCUUCGGUCCCCACGCUCUCAGAUGAGUCUAGGUCGGAUUAGCUAUUUGGUGGUGUAACGGCUCACCAAGGCGACGAUCCGUAACUAGUCUGAUAGGAUGAUCAGUCACACUGGAACUGAGACACGGUCCAGACUCCGACGGGAUGCAUCGUUGGGGAAUAUUGUACAAUUGGCGAAAGCCUGAUCCAGCCAUGCCGCGUGUGUGAAGAAGGUCUUCGAAUUAUAAAGCACUUGAAGUUGGGAGGAAGGGCAUUAACCUAAUACGUGAGUGUUUUGACGUUACCAACAGAAUAAGCACCGGCUAACUUCGUGCCAGCCGCCGCAGUAACAC